AGGAUCCGCACUGACAGCAAAUAGCCGAACACAGGGCUCAAACUCACCAGCCGUGAGACCAUGACCUAAGCUGUAGUCACAUGCUUAACCAACUGAGCCACCCAGGCGCCCCUCUCCCUGAACUUUAACACCAGAGUUCUCCACCGCUCAAAUUCCUAUGCACUUUCUUCUACCUCGCCUUCCAACCUACCCACAAUUUUGUCUCUUCCAACAGGACUGGUUGCAGAUUUUAUUUCUUUAAAAUGUAUGUGCAAGGACUCUGAAGAUGUCUAGUGCUUCCAAAGUGACUUACUAAGUGAGCAUGCAAUGUUUGUUUUAAAGGUUCUAUCAAUGCCAAGCCACAAUUAUAAACAGAUAAUUUCCCUAUAGCAGGGGAACCAACCCCUGGGAAAUAAGCUCAAAUUUUCAGCCCCAUUGCCACCCCACAUUCUUUAUUCUGCCCUCUAUAGGUUGAAAAGAGUGUGGUGAUCAGUAGGGAAAGAAGGAAUGCCACGUAGACCCCUUCUUCAGGGAGCCAUCACAGUUUUCUGCAGCACUCGGGAGGCAGAGCUUCUGAAGAAUCUAGAAAUUGGGAGAACUGAUCCACCAUCCCUUCUUUUCUUCAUUUAACCAGCACUUCUUGAACCCCUACUGUGUACCAAACAAUGGAAAUACAACAUGAGGAACCUUCAGCUCCCAGUCUGAAGAAGGGGCAAGCAACCAGCUUCUGCCAUGCAAGAACAGAUAUGGUGCAGGAGAUCCAUUUCUACCCAAUGAGCUACAAUUUCUGCCACUGGAAAGUUUCCAGCCUGGAGGGGGAUAAGGCAGCUACAAAGUCAAACCCUAUGUGCCAAAGAGACAAGAACAUAAAUGCUGUGGGACUUUGAGAGAGAGAGCAGGAAGAUGCUUUCCCAAAUGGAGAAUAUUGGCCUCCAAGACUUUACAAAUCCAAGUGAGAAAUAACCCCUACUGUCUGGGUAGGAAAAAAGGAACAAAAUACUUUGGGCCUCUUUGUGGUAGAGGCUUCCAGCACCAAGACUUAACAUUUGGACAAUAUCAAAUGAUUAAUCACAUCCUGGAUGGGAGGAGAACUACAGAGUGUGAGGUUUCUCUCAGACUGGGACUCCAAGUACAAGUCCAUUUCCUCACCUCCCAGUUUAACUUUGGAUGAACAGAGCUGCCAUUAUCCACUGAGAGUGGAUUCCUGGCUAGAAUAAUAAAUUCCUGAGAACUUCC